ACCAGCAUCAUGGUGCACCUGCACAG
rnacentral:piRNA from 1 species